rnacentral:lncRNA from 1 species
CGCGGCGCGCACACUGACCGCCCGCGUUGUACCUUACCUGCCUCGCGUGCGUCUUCACCGGUCCCCGGCGGCUCCAAAUCCGAGCAAGUUCUACCGGCGCGGAACAGGCUGCCGUUCCCCAGUCGCGGUUUUCCGAGUCCUUGUUGUUGGAAAACGCGUCGGCUUCCUCCCCGUUUUCCCUGAUCUGGUGAGACGCUGGAAUCCCGCGUUUUCCUGACGAGGUCCGUGGACCAUGGGCAGACUGUCUGAUUUCUAAUUGAGGAGGAAGGCAAAGCGCUUUGAAGAGCUCACCACACACACCUUUAUGGUUCUCUUUAAAGAAGCCUCACCGAAGUGUCAAUGGACACCUGGCACCUGCCGCCUUUGCUUGGAAACUGAGAAGUUCUGUUGUGCUGCAGUGUUUGCUGAGGCUAUCACAGCAGAAGGAAUGCUGAUUCUGUCCCUUUUAACCCCUGUGUGAAACUGACUUUCAUACACUGUGCA